rnacentral:rRNA from 1 species
UACGGGGGGGGCAAGCGUUGUUCGGAAUUACUGGGCGUAAAGGGCUUGUAGGCGGCCAACUAAGUCAGAUGUGAAAUCCCUCGGCUUAACCGGGGAACUGCGUCUGAUACUGGAUGGCUUGAAUCCGGGAGAGGGAUGCGGAAUUCCAGGUGUAGCGGUGAAAUGCGUAGAUAUCUGGAGGAACACCGGUGGCGAAGGCGGCAGCCUGGACCGGCAUUGACGCUGAGGCGCGAAAGCCAGGGGAGCAAACGGG